AACAUGCAAGAACACAAAGUUGACUGUAAGCUGUUUCCUGCAGUACUGUGGUUUGGUUCACAUCCUGAAACAUGGAAAGACCACAUCCCUGAGACUUUCAAACGGUGUGAGAGCCACACAGAAGAAGACAGACGUGUACACACCCACAGAGCAAGAUACCAACUCCCAGAGUGUCCAGAAGAGCUUACAUACUAAUCUUGGCACUUCUAAAUUAAAUGAGGAGAUUUGGAUCUGGCAUUGGACAUGAGAGCUGGUUCUAAGGGGCUGCUCCGGACCUUCAGGAGUCUGCCUGUCCUUGUGGGGAAGUCACUUCUCAGGUCUGUGGCUGGGAUUCACCUUGCAGCUGUAGAAGAGCAAGUGGGCAGAAGGAACACUCACUUAUCACCAUGUAUCUUCUUUCACGAUCUGCUGGGAAAACUGAUGAGAGAGAGGCAUGAGUAGAACCUUGCUCUACGUGGAUUGUGUGGUGGGACUUGCUUGGAGUGACCCACUGGAGGGGACAGCAUUCAUCAGAAAAAUUAGUUGUUUUGUUUGACAUUUUUCUGGUUCUGUCAGGCCAGGAGGUGGGAAGUAAGCAUGGAGGCGCUUCCUUUGGCCACUUCUGUCCCUUUUUUCCCUUGAAAGAAGAAGAGGGAAACUUUGUCCAGGCUGCACAUUCUCUGAAGUGUGACUGAACAUGACUGAAUUGCUUUCCAGGCUCUUUUACCCUCGUGAGACUGGAAAGGUCGGGGCUCUGAAGGGAAAGAGCUACUGAAGUUGAUGGGCUCAGUGAGGGCAACUUACAGACCAUCCAGGCCGUGGACAGAAUUUAAAGGAUAUAGAGAAGGGUCCUUGAGGAGUUGUAAGCACCAGGCCUGUCACAACCUGUUUAAACAGGACAUUGCAGUGGUAUGUUUUAAAGUUAAAUCUCUGCAUUUGCACUUGCAGUAUCAAGAAUCAGGCAUGCUCAGCAGUUUAAUAUGUUAAAGGCAACAACAGGCUUGAGUUUUCUGAUUUUAUGUCUGAAAUAAAAGCACGGUG